rnacentral:lncRNA from 1 species
GUCUCAUCGCAGUCAGAGAUGUUGCUGAGAAGCGCAGCGCAGAACCUGGCCGAGAUGAGACACUUGAAGGCCGUGGAUCCUUCAGGGGCCCACACUUGCCCUGCCUUGCUCCCGGAUGGCCUGGUGCAGAGAACACACAAAAGACACAUUGCAAAGACGCGGUAACACGAGCAAAACCGCCGAUGCUCGACUGGGCAAAGAUCUGACAGGGGCCUGCACGCAGAAAGUCCCUUAAAGCACACAAGGGCUCGAGAAGCCGCAGUAUUUCUGAACACGUCCCUCCCCGAGGACAUCCCCCGCCUUCCGCACCGCCCUCCUCCCGUCGGACCGCCGGCUCCGGCCCGGCCGCUUCCCGCUCCACCCGCAGCCCCUCACCGCCUCCCUCCCGCCCAGCUGCGCCGGGCACAGCGCGUCCCGCAGCCCCGCUCCCCUCACACCGACACCUACUCCGCCCGAGUCUCCUCCGCGCCCGCCGCCUCCGGCCGCGAACGAGCCACCUCCCCUCCGCCCCCUCCUCCUCCU